CCGUGCCAUAAAGAGCACGUUAAGUUGUCAUGUGUCAGUCCCGGUUGAUAUUAAAAAAUACUUAUAUUAACGAAUGUAUAAACUCCAUUUUUGGCAAUAUUUUUACACGAGAGCACUUAAGUAUUUCCACCAUCGGGUAUUUGCCUUUGGAUCUGGGUAUAUCAUGUGGAAACCUACAAAAGCUCAAGUAAGUAGAUGAAUCUCCAAGGAUACGUGAUGGUCACCGCAAGGAGCUUUAGAUGGAACUGGAUGAACAACAAACACAGCCAUUACUUUUAAAUUAUUAACUUUUUUUCUCUCUGACUUGACUUGAACUUACUAUGCCAUGUUUUUACUUUUAUAAAAUAAAAUAAUUUACUGGAAAA